UGCGUUGACCAGUCGGCUCCUCCCUUCUUCCGGCGAUGAUCUCCUGGCCUUAACUGGCCGGGUCGCCCUCUCCUGCUGUUACUUUGAAAAAUUAUAGUGCUCAAAGCACGCAUACUCUCGGGACACAUUAGCAUGGGAUAACAUCAUGGGUUUGUGAUCAUAGUGUGUUCGCUUUCGAUAUCAGAGUAGUGAUACACAGAGACUGUGGGGCGCUUUCGUAUCUUAUAGUCAGAGGUGAAAUUCUUGGAUUUGUGAAAGACGAACAAGUGAGAAAGCAUUUGCCAAGGAUGUUUUCUUUUAUCAAGAAAGAAAGUUGGGGGCUCGAAGACGAUCAGACACCGUCCUAGUCUCAACCAUAAAAGAUGCCGACCAGGUAUCAGCGGAUGUUGCUUUUAGGACUCCGCUGGCACCUUAUGAGAAAUCAAAGUUUUUGGUUUCCGGGGGGAGUAUUGUCGCAAGGGUGAAACUUAAAGGAAUUGAGGGAAGGGCCCCCCCAGGAGUGGAGCGUGCGGUUUAAUUUGACUCAACACGGGGAAACUUACCAGGUCCAGGCAUAGUAAGGAUUGACAGACUGAGAGCUCUUUCUUGAUUCUAUGGGUGGUGGUGCAUGGCCGUUCUUAGUUGGUGGAGCGAUUUGUCUGGUUAAUUCCGUUAACGAAGGAGACCUCAGCCUGCUAACUAGCUAUGCGGAGGCGACCCUCCGCGGCCAGCUUGUUAGAGGGAGUAUGGC
rnacentral:rRNA from 1 species